GACGAACGCUGGCGGCGUGCUUAACACAUGCAAGUCGAACGGAAAGGCCCUGCUUUUGUGGGGUGCUCGAGUGGCGAACGGGUGAGUAACACGUGAGUAACCUGCCCUUGACUUUGGGAUAACUUCAGGAAACUGGGGCUAAUACCGGAUAGGAGCUCCUGCUGCAUGGUGGGGGUUGGAAAGUUUCGGCGGUUGGGGAUGGACUCGCGGCUUAUCAGCUUGUUGGUGGGGUAGUGGCUUACCAAGGCUUUGACGGGUAGCCGGCCUGAGAGGGUGACCGGCCACAUUGGGACUGAGAUACGGCCCAGACUCCUACGGGAGGCAGCAGUGGGGAAGAUUGCACAAUGGGCGGAAGCCUGAUGCAGCAACGCCGCGUGCGGGAUGACGGCCUUCGGGUUGUAAACCGCGUUCGCCUGUGACGAAGCGUGAGUGACGGUAAUGGGUAAAGAAGCACCGGCUAACUACGUG
rnacentral:rRNA from 1 species